GAGUCCCAGGCCUCCCCGGGCCUACGGAAGCACCGGGCGCCCGCGGCGAAGCCGACUGGGCAAGGCCCUCGGAGCACGGCCUGAGCACACACACUGGACGCCCGGGACCGAAAAGGAGACCCGGAGGAGCAGCCGCGUCCCCUGGGCCUGCGCCAAGGCUUCGGCGGGGCGCGCUGCGGGGCCGGGAGGCCAUUUUGAGAGCGAACGAGCGGCGGCAAGAUGGCUGCGUGGGCACGAGGAUGCACUCCAGGGUGGGCCAGGAGAAAAGAGAAAAGACAGCUUGGUGAUGACUAAGAAGCCUUCUCUCCUCAGACAUGGUGGGAUGUACUCUGAUCUAGAGCAGGCAGCUGGCCAGAGGCCCACAGGGAGCUCAGUGAUUGGCCUCAGAUGACCUUGGGGACAAAGAUUGUCCUGUGAAGGGAAGUGAUGGCACAGGCUCUGAUCAGCUCUUCUGGGAACAGACAGAGAAGUGAGAAUUC
ensembl:lincRNA Mir9-3hg Mir9-3 host gene